rnacentral:ribozyme from 1 species
UUUUUUUUUUUUUUUUUUUUUUUUAGAAGUUUGAUUAAUUAAAAAGC